UCGUACGUAGCAGAGCAGCUCCCUCGCUG
rnacentral:piRNA from 7 species